AGGGACAGCAGUAGCCGCGGUAAUACGAAGGGUGCAAGCGUUGUCCGGAAUUAUUGGGCGUAAAGCGCGCGCAGGCGGAUAGGUCAGUCUGUCUUAAAAGUUCGGGGCUUAACCCCGUGAUGGGAUGGAAACUGCCAAUCUAGAGUAUCGGAGAGGAAAGUGGAAUUCCUAGUGUAGCGGUGAAAUGCGUAGAUAUUAGGAAGAACACCAGUGGCGAAGGCGACUUUCUGGACGAAAACUGACGCUGAGGCGCGAAAGCCAGGGAAGCGAACGGGAUUAGAUACCCGCGUAGUCCCUGUCUCUUAUACA
rnacentral:rRNA from 1 species